GAUGAACGCUGGCGGCGUGCCUAAUACAUGCAAGUCGAGCGAACAGACGAGGAGCUUGCUCCUCUGACGUUAGCGGCGGACGGGUGAGUAACACGUGGAUAACCUACCUAUAAGACUGGGAUAACUUCGGGAAACCGGAGCUAAUACCGGAUAAUAUAUUGAACCGCAUGGUUCAAUAGUGAAAGACGGCUUUGCUGUCACUUAUAGCUGGAUCCGCGCCGCAUUAGCUAGUUGGUAAGGUAACGGCUUACCAAGGCUACGAUGCGUAGCCGACCUGAGAGGGUGAUCGGCCACACUGGAACUGAGACACGGUCCAGACUCCUACGGGAGGCAGCAGUAGGGAAUCUUCCGCAAUGGGCGAAAGCCUGACGGAGCAACGCCGCGUGAGUGAUGAAGGUCUUCGGAUCGUAAAACUCUGUUAUUAGGGAAGAACAAAUGUGUAAGUAACUAUGCACGUCUUGACGGUACCUAAUCAGAAAGCCACGGCUAACUACGUG
rnacentral:rRNA from 1 species